CUUUUGCAUACGCAAAAGCAGAGCUAAUGUAAAUGUACAGUGUUUGUAGAUUUUGUGCUAAUAUUCAAUCCAAAGCUUGUAUAAUCUGUUUUACAUUUUAGAUAGACCUUUUGAAUACUAUUUGAUUGUUAACAAUCUACAACAAAUCCAUGUCAUCAUAACCAGUUCAUCAGUAGCUGUAAUAAAAGAUAAUCACAUUCAUUGAUGAUUUCAACCCGGAAGAAAAUUGUUUGUAACAAAAGAAACUCAUCAUCAUCAAGAUUUUCGGUCUUGGCUAGCAUUGUCGUGUGUAGGUUGUAAUUGAAGCUGAAAUGAAUGACCAUUUACAACUGUUACAAAAAACCUUGCAUUUGUUGUCCAUCCUUUUGAUAACGUCUGAAUGCAAUGCAUUUCAUAUCAUGGCUCUAUUGCCCUCCUGAGAUGCUGUCAGACAAGGAAUUAUCUAAAAACCAAAGGGCGUGGAGAAACCUGGAUGCUAAGAGACAUUAAGCCGACACUUUCCCGACCUGUUUGCCAUUCUAUAUCCUGCACACCACGGUCAACAUAACAGAAAACAGUAUUCUGGUUGAAAGUGCAUGUAUGAUGCUUUAGUUUACAAGAAAAGAUAUAUCGUAUAUUUUGUAUUUCGCAAAUACGAUUGAGGAAACAUUUUGACGCACAUCUUCUUGGUUUUAGCACUAUAGGAGCAAUAUGAAUCGGCCUCCCGGAAAUGUUUGUCUCUUGUUUUGAGUUUCGCUCCGACGGUGACGGAAUCGAAUUUCAACCAUUCAUUUUUAGGGUUGACGAGCAUCCAAGUAUCCCCAUACAAAAGAGGAGAGAGAGAGAGAGAAAGAGAGAG